rnacentral:rRNA from 1 species
AAACUGGAGAUGGCGACCGGCGCACGGGUGAGUAACACGUAUCCAACCUGCCGAUGACUCGGGGAUAGCCUUUCGAAAGAAAGAUUAAUACCCGAUGGCAUAGUUCUUCCGCAUGGUAGAACUAUUAAAGAAUUUCGGUCAUCGAUGGGGAUGCGUUCCAUUAGGUUGUUGGCGGGGUAACGGCCCACCAAGACUACGAUGGAUAGGGGUUCUGAGAGGAAGGUCCCCCACAUUGGAACUGAGACACGGUCCAAACUCCUACGGGAGGCAGCAUG